AAUAAAUGAUGACAUUGACCUUUUCUCACAUGUUUAACCAUUCGUCUUAUUUAAAAACUUUACGUAAUUGUAAUUUAUUUUGUUAUGAGUUGUUUUAUCACUCAUAGUACUUUAAGUGUCAUUUAUAUCUUAUACAUUUAUAUAAAAUUUUUGAAUAAGACGAAUGGUCAAACAUGUGAGAAAAAGUUAACGGCGUCAUCUAUA
rnacentral:pre_miRNA from 1 species